AGUGAACGCUGGCGGCGUGCUUAACACAUGCAAGUCGAACGGAUGAAAUAAGCUUGCUUAUUUCGUUAGUGGCGCACGGGUGAGUAAUGUAUAGCUAACCUGCCCUUUAGUGGGGGACAACAGUUGGAAACGACUGCUAAUACCCCAUAUUCCUUCUUAUCAUAAGGUAAGUUGGGAAAGAUUUAUUGCUAAAGGAUGGGGCUUUAUGGUAUCAGCUAGUUGGUGGGGUAACGGCCUACCAAGGCUAUGACGCCUACCUGGUCUGAGAGGAUGAUCAGGCACACUGGAACUGAGACACGGUCCAGACUCCUACGGGAGGCAGCAGUGGGGAAUAUUGCACAAUGGAGGAAACUCUGAUGCAGCAACGCCGCGUGGAGGAUGACGCAUUUCGGUGUGUAAACUCCUUUUAUAAGGGAAGAUAAUGACGGUACCUUAUGAAUAAGCACCGGCUAACUCCGUGCCAGCAGCCGCGGU
rnacentral:rRNA from 1 species